GGCUUUCUGAAAAGCAUAGGGAGUCGUGCCUUCCCAGUGGGCAUACGAGCCUAAACGGACGCGGUAAAUCGUGCUAAGGUAGCUAAGUUAUGGCCUAUUAAUUGUAGGUCUUGUGAAUGGUUUGACGAGCCUCCAACUGUCUCUAGGUUGUUUUGGUGAACUUGAGUUGAAUGUGUAAAUGCCUUCGUGGGUAAGAAAGACGAGAAGACCCCGUGAAGUUAAAAAUUUUAGCGUAUGGAGUGUUAUUCCCUGUUGGUGAAGGCUAGAGGGUUAAGGGAUUUGGUUGGUUUCUAAGUGAGGGGGUGUAGUGAAUGGUUUUUGCUGGGGCAGCAAAAGGGCAAAUUUAGACCUUAAUUGUAUUUAAAACGGGUGCGUUACGACCCAUAAUUAAAAAGGUGUGAUUAGCAGAAGGAGUUACUCCGGGGAUAACAGCGUUAUUCGUCCUGAGAGUUCUUAUUGGUGGACGGGUUUGCGACCUCGAUGUUGGCUCUGGAUAUCCUGGGGCUUGCAGGCGGUCCCAAGGGUUGGUUCGUUCGCCCAUUAAAAUCCGAACG
rnacentral:rRNA from 1 species